CACUCUCUCAUGAGAGCCGGCUCUCCUCUGUCCUCCUCUUCCCUUAAAAAUACUCCAAUCCAACCUCCUCCUCCUCCAAUUCCUCUCUUCGUGGGUUUUAUCUUUCCCUAGUACCCAUCAAGAAUCACAGUGAGAGAACCUGUAGAGUAAAACAGAGACUUCAAGAGAAUCCAUUCCGAGCAUAUCGAGAUUACCUGUACAGUAAUAGCCAGGUAGGUCACUUGGCUCUCUGGAAGAGAAAUGGACAGGCUUAUUGGUUUGGACCCAUCGAAUCUUGUAUCUAUCAGAAUUGAACCUCGACAGAAAUGCUAUGCUGAACUCACUCUCCCCAAUGUUAUGUGCACUAUGCCGGUGGCCUUCAGGAUCCAGGCCUUGAACAAGACUCGGUACACGAUCAAGCCACAGUUAGGAUUCAUAUCUCCUCUGGCGAUACUAACUAUAGAGAUCACAUAUCAUCUCUCUCCGGGUUCUCUUCUUCCAGAGACGUUUCCUCACUGUGAGGACUCGUUUCUUUUGCUUAGCGUGGUGGUUCCUGGCGCGGCAAUUAAAGAUGCUACAUCAAGUAUGGAUGCAGUUCCUAUUGACUGGUUCACAACCAGGAAAAAACAGGUGUUCAUAGAUAGUGGAAUCAAAGUCAUGUUUGUUGGGUCGCCAAUUCUUGCUCAGCUGGUUACAGAUGGCUUAAUGGAUGAGUUUCAAAGCCGAUCAGGGUAAAGUCCACUUGAGGCGGCUGCAAGAUCUGGUGAGGCUUUGAUUGUUGAGCUUUUAUUAGCUCGUCGAGCCAGCUCAGAAAGAUCACAGUCCUCAACUUGGGGUCCAAUCCUGCAGCUGGAGGGGGGCAUUUGGAGGUGGCGGUAAAUUAAAGCAGUACGGACAUGUUUGUUUUCUGGAAAAUAAUUUUUGGAAAAUAAUUUUUUAAAUUUUUUUGUGUUUGUUUGCCAAUAGAAAAGUUGAUCAAUGGAAAACACUUUCCAGUAAAAAGAAAAUUUGGUUUGGUUUUCAGGAAAGUGUUUUCCUGAAAAAUUUGGGGGGAAACCACUUUCUGGAAGUUGUGAAAAAUUUAAAAAUGUCAUUAUUUGUUGAUUAUAUUAAAUUUAAUCCUCAAACUUUUGAUUGGUAUAUAUAUUUUGUUUUGAAUAUUUAUUUUUCAAUUUCAUUUCUUAAAAUUUUAUUUUUAUAUUAACUUUGGUCCUUAUUUUUAUAAUUGCUAUUUGCUUUUUCCUUAUCAUAUUUUGAUUAAAAAAAUUUAUCUAUCAAAUUUGGUCCUCAUUCUUUUGAUUGUUACUUAUUUUAUUUGAAAUAAUUUAUGAAAUGUUGAUUAUUAUUAUUUUAAUUUCUUCAUCUUUUAUUUUUAGAAAAAAAAUUUAGAUUUGAUUUCUAUUAUUUUAAUUAUUAUUUAUUUUAUUUGAGAUAAUUUAUGAAAUUAUAUUUUUUUUCAAUUUCAUUCUCAUUUAAUUUUUUAAUUUGUAAAAUUUAUUCUUCAUUAUUUUAAUAAGUUAUGUAUGAAUAUAGGAUAUAAUAAAAAAAAUUCAUCAUUAUAAAUACUUUUUAGAUUUUAUUUUUUUUAAUUGUAAGUGAUUAAAUAUUUUAUAUAUAUUAGAUAAACUUGAAAAAAAAAUUAAUUCAUUAAUAAAUUAUUUUCCAGUUCAUUUUCCAUAACACAACCAAACACUGGAAAGUAUUUUUCAAUUCAUUUUUCAUAACACUGUCAAAUAUCGGAAAAUACUUUCCUGAAAUUUAUUUUUUUCAAAAUUUACUUUCCUAAAAAAAAAGACUUUCCCGCAGAUAAAUUAACCUAAUUCAUGCCCAGAAGAUAGAAGGAAAGAGGAAUAAAGAUAGGAUAGAGAUGGGCCCCUUUUCCUGGUCCCACAACAUUGUAGAUAUUUCUUCAUCAUCCAUAUCUGAUCUCCUCAAUUCAACAUCAUGGUUCCGUGGUUGUUUUUUUUUUUUUUUAAGUGACUUUUGUUUCGAAAUAUCUGGAGUUAAUAUUUUUUUUAAUUUUAUUAUAUUAAAAUAAUAUGAGAACAUGAAAAAAAAUUUAUUUAAAAAAUUAAAAAGAUUUUAUUUUUUUAAAAUAAAAAAAUAAUGAGGCUAUCAAACUUGUGAUCAUCCAUGUAACUUUCAUGGCAGUGGAGUUCUUCCUUUUGCUCAAUUUAAAAAAAAUAAUAAUUAAAAUCCAUGGCACGCCUUUAGUUGUUGGCAGAGGGUAAUCCUAUGGUUAGAAAAAAAUAUAUCUUUAUACUAGUUUGGAUAUUUUACAUGCUUUCUUGUUAAAAUAUGUUUGGGUAUUACAAUAGUUUUUGUUUUUGUCCAAUAACAUAGAAAAAUCUGUAUGAUUAUUUAAAUAAUUUAUGCUUUUCACACCUGGAUUAUAUAUAAUUAUUUUUUAAAUUUUAAUUUUGUAAAAAUUAAAAUAAUAUUUUUUUAUUUAUAAAGAUCUUUCUUUUAUUCAUAAAAAACUGUUUUUAUUUAUUGUACAUGAAAGAAAAAAUUUAUGUUAUUAUAAUUUUAAUAAAACACUAUCUUUUUAAAUUAUAACUAAAAAUAUUUUUAAAAAACUAAAUGCUAUCUUAUGAUAAUACGUUUGGCACUAUGUUUGAAAAGUUUUUUCAAAAAAAAUUAAAUUAUUUUUUAUUUUAAAUUAAUAUAUUUUUGAUAUUUUUAAAUUAUUUUAAUAUAUUGAUUUCAAAAAUAAUUUUUAAAAAAUAAAAAAAUAUUAUUAAUAUACAUUUUUAAAUAAAAAAUAUUUUUAAAAUACAAUCUCUUAUCCCAAACCCCAUCCACUACUUAGGACAAGAGAUCAACAUUACUUAAAUCCCAUCAAUCCAUAUCUUCCCACAGGAGAAAAUGACCAUGGCGGAGACCACAAGUGCCUCCUGCAACCUUUCUUCUUUAAAAUAUUUGGUUAAUUAACAUUUUAAUUAAAAUGAAUUUGCUUCCUUCCCUCGUAUGGUGCCCUAAAGAGGGACCUAACAACUUUCAACAUCACCUUGAGCCUUUGAGAUUAGAUCAAAGGCCUUUCUAAAGGAAAUGAUACGUUGAAGUUUAUUACAUUUGUCAUGAACACUGUGUGUACGCGUACAUGGACAUUUUUGUGAUUUCCAAUGAUACCAUUAGUUUUAUCUUCUUUUUUCUGUCUGCUUCCAUUUCCUUCGCUCCACUUCUGAGCGGCUGAGCCUAUAAAUAUGGCACUUGUUUCCUUCAUCACUUCAUAUCGAAAACCAUUUCAAAGAGAGAAAAAAGAAGAAAGAAAUACACAAUAUAUAUGGCAGGAAUCAUGCACAAGGUUGAGGACACUCUGAACACUGGAGGCAAGAAAGAUGAGCGCAAGGGUGAGACACAAGGUGGGUACAACCAACAAGAUCACAGGGGAGGCGCACAAGGUGAGCGCAAGGAAGGGUUUGUUGGCCAGAUGAAGGACAAGAUCCCGGGCGGUGGCGGUGGCGUGCACCAGGGUGGCGGUGUCGGUGGCAUGCGCCAGGGCGACACACAAGGUGGGUACAACCAACAAGAGCACAGGGGCGGCGCACAAGGUGAGCGUGGGUUUGGGGACCAGAUCAAGGACAAGUUGCCGGGCGGUGGCGGUGGGGUGCGCAAGGGCGAGACGCAAGGUGGGUACAAUCAACAAGAGCACAGGGGCGACGCACAAGGUGAGCGCAAGGAAGGGUUUAUUGACAAGAUCAAGGGCAAGAUCCCGGGGGCUGGCGGUGGCAGUGGCAUCCGUGGUGAAGGUGGAGAGAAAAAGAAGUAGGACAAGAAGAAGAAUGAUGGUGGCCAUAGCAGCAGCGACAGCGACUAAGUAUCUUGCACUGCUUCCAUGCAUUAGGUAUAUACACACAUAUUUGCUCUCUACUAGCAUGGUUUUGUGUCAUUUUUUUUCCGUCAAUUCUUUUCCCAUUAUUUUUUCUGUCUUUGUUGCCUCUAGAUCAUAAACUAAUCAUAUAUACGUACGACUUAUUGCAUUCUCUGCUUCUUACAUUAUGUCAAAGUCAAGCUCAAAAAUGGUGAAUCGUUUGUUACACGUCCUGUUCUUCCAUAAUUUUGAUUUCUAACGUAUCCUUCGUCUUUGCAGGUGUGGAGGAGGUCGAGGUCCUGUCUACCAGUGUUGCAUGUUAUUAUCACUAGAAAAUAAAAAGAAAAAAGCUGUACUUUUCAAUAUUUUGUAUCUUUGCUUUAAGUGGUGUUGCUAGGCAGGGAAGAAUGUAAACCGAAAAAUAUUAUAAUAAGAUAAUAAUUAUUAUUAACAUUAUGUUUUAUGUGGGUGAUUUUAAUUUGUUCAUGAAAGAAAUUGUUAUUAACAUAUGAAGUAUUCCUUCCAUGUCACAGAAGCUCUCACCAUAUAGGAGCUACACACAUGUACACUCCAAGAUAUGUUCUUCCUUAAAAUUGUUCUGCCAGCGACAAUGGAAUGAAACCCCCCAUGGAAGGGUUGUAAGAAAUUUAUGGAUUAUAUUAAAGAAAAUUCACCCAUCAUAACAAAGUUUGUCUGAAAUGUUUUGAGAUUUUAUUUACUAGAGAGGCGAAACACACGCACCCCGUUCUCUCAAAAAAAAAAAAAAAGGUGACACGGCAACUCCAUUCUUGUGCUCUAUGUCGAGUCAAUUUAUUAACGCAUGAAGGUUUUUUUUUAAGUGUGUUUUAUUUGAAAAAAAUUAAAAUAAUAUUUUUUAAUUUUAAUGAUUAAAAAAAGAUAUAAAAAUAUUAAAAAUAUAUAUUAAUUUAAAUUAAAAAAUAAAAAAUUUAAUUUUUUUAAAAAUAUUUUUAAAAUAUAAAAACAAACGAAGUUAAAAAAAUAAUAAUAUGCAUAUACAAUUAGAAAGUCCAAGGCGCUAGCCAUAUAAAUAUUUAUUUAUUAUUAUUUAUUUAUAAUUCUCAACGAAUAUUUAUUUGUAUAUUUCCAUGUUGAUAAUGAUCCUCCACUCAAUUAUAUUAUCCUUUCAAGGUUAAAUGGAAUAAUACUAUUAUAGCAAAUCUCAAGUGGCAUUAAUGUAUUAUUAUGAACAUAGUUUUGGCAUCCCAAAAACAUAAUCGAUUAUACAAAAUAUCUUCUAGGGACUAAAUGCUCUAGGGGUAUGAUAAACGAUUAUAAAUUUGCAAUAAUUUACAGUACAGGGACUAAAGUGGAACUUUUUUUUAAUCUAGAAACAUAAUAAAAUAAAAUAAAAUGUGCUUUUGAAAAGUUAAAAUAAACAGGAUCUUUUCCGGUCUACUUUUCUAUAUGAUCCCUGGAUUUAGAAAAGGGGAAAACUCUUUUAAUCAAAUUCUAAAAAAAGAAUUGAAUGAAUUAAAUCUUUUACCGUAAUUAAAUUUGUCUCAAGCAAAUAAAACAUUAAAAAAAAUCCUUUAGACACAUAGAAGCCGCAAGGAGAUCUCACUCGUACUGUGGACCGGACUACUCGUGGUAAAAAUAUACAAUAAAAUUAAUUUAUAAAUUCAGAACCCAGCUAUUUGUGGACCAGACCUAUUAGUUCUGGCUGGGCUGCUGCUUAAACUUCGAUCUGACCAUUGAAAAGGUUAAAGCUUACAGGUUUAGUGAGCACAUGUUUAAACAUUGUUUCAACAUUAGCAAUUGUGGACCGGACCUAUUAGCAAUUGAAACAUUUUUUUAUUUUAUAAAUUAGUUUGAGAUAUUAUAUGUUUUUAUUAAUAUAUAUAAUAUUUAUUAUAUUUAAAUAUCAAUUUUCUAAUUCACGAUUAUAUUUUUUACUUGGUGUCAGAAAAAACAUUAAUAAUAUCUAUACAUUAAUUCUUUUGUGUUAGAAAAAAUUAUUUAACCCACAAUAAAAAGAGUUGAAUAAACACUAUAACACUUUUUUAUUUUGUAUUUAUUAAGAUAGAUGAUUCUCAAUUUUUUUAUUUAGAUGCAUGCAUAGAUUUUUUUUAUUUUUAAUUAGUAUUAAAAAAAUACAUUUGAAAAGCUUAUAUAUUUAGUUGUUUUACAAAACAUUAUCCAACCCGUGGUGAAGGCAUGAGACAUAAUAAUUGUACCAUGCUUUUCGAUAUCCAUGAUAAAAUGUAUGGAAAAUAAUCAAUAAAAUCUAUAUGGUGAUUUUAUUUAUCUUUAAGAAUUGUCAUCCUAGUUGGUUUUUAGGAUCACAUGAAUUAAAAGCUAUAUUCAUAUAGUUGAUACUGAAAAUUUCAUAUAUAUAAAAUGCCUUGUAAGGUUCAAAUACAAGGUUUAUUUUUUUUAUUUAAAGCAUAGCUACUGCUUCGACGCUAACAUUAUUUUUUUGCUUAUGUUUUAUUAUUUCAAUUUUUUUAAAAAGGUUAAGUUGUAUAAAAUUCAAAUAAUAAAAUAAAAUAAGGCACAAGGCUAGUACAUCAAAAGUAGAAAAGAAAGCAAAACGCUAAUGAAAUAGAUGAUGUUGGUGACUAGGAAAAUGAUUCUCUCUCUUCUUUUUUUCAAGCCUCUUCGUAAAUUUAUAGUUUCUGGCAAUUUGUAGCCUUUUUUUCCCAUUGACUGCAUCAUGUUGAUUAGUUGUCGGUAUGAAGGCAUGACUAAUUUAAUUUCUUUCUUUUUCUUCCUAAUAAAAGCAAAAAAUAAAAAAUUACCAUCUUAUUAUAUUAUUUUUAAAUUUUCUUGUCGGUUUUAUUUACCUUUUAUUUUUUUAUUCUUGCUUUAAUUUUUAUUUGUUUGGCUAGUUUAUGAAUUUUAUUAUAAAUAAAAUAUUCAUGAUGUGUCUCGUAUUUAAAAAUUAAUGUUUUGUCAUAUAUGAGAAUAUAUUAAAAAGGGAGUUAAAAAUGAAAAGAAAACUUAACAAAUGUAAUUUUAACACUACAAAUUCCGUAAUAUUAAAAAAAGAUAAAAUGUGUAGGUCUCUAAAGCAAUAAUCUCAUAACUUUUAAAGGAUUGGCGUGGUCUUUUUAGUGUGACUCUCAUCCCCUUGCCAUUAGUCUUUUUAAACAUGGACUUAGACAAUAAAAUAAAAAAUAUAUUGAUUUAUCAAUACAAUAUGAUCAUAGAGAAAUAUUUGAUGAGAACCUCUUAAUUUCAUGGUCAAAUAAUCCCCAUUAAAGAUAAUAUUUCCUCAAGAAAGCUGGGAAUCAGGUUUGAGAAGUGUAACACUAUGAAAACCUGUCAUAAGACACUAAUACUAUUGAAAUUAAAACGAAUGACGCCACAAGGUCAGCCUUAAUAAGUCAUAUUUGAUCUUUGUCCCAGCAAAGAUAACGUGUUUCAUCACGCAAGACACAAGUUUAUUUUAUAAAUCCAUCGUGUUCUGCUUUUCAACAUACAGAAAACUUAUAUAAUGUUUCAAAUAACUCUAAUGGAUCCCAUGUGUGGGCUGAUUUGAGUCCCUUACAAAAUUGACUGAAACAAGUAAUAAUAAACCAAAGACUAAGAAGAAAAUAAUAAAAAUCUGAAGUAAUAUCCUAGAUAUGCUAAAAUCAGAUUUGUCACUCAUAAAAAGUUCCAAAUAGACUAGAAAAUUUGAUGUGAAUGUGGAAUUGAUUAUGAAGUCUUCUUAUCUUGUUGUGUUUAGUUUUAUUGUUUUACAUGGACAAUUACUAAAGAAAAUCUCCCACUUUUAUACUUGCCAAUUUAGUUUUCUUUCUAAAUUAGGAGAAUCAUUAAUUAAUUCUUUCUAGUUUAGAAAAUCAGAUCUGGCACACCCUCCUAGCAUCCUUUGUUGAUAAAUAUUCUCCUAAAUAAUAUGUAAAAUUAUGAACGAAGUUUUCUUGAAUUUUAGGAGAAUAUUUUGCUGAUUGAAGUUCUUAUAGAAAUUGGAAAAUCAAUCCCAAACAAAUAUGAUCCCAACAACUUAAUUAACCUAAGUCAACUUUGAACCCCAUGUGGCCUAAAUCCAUAUUCAUUAAUAGGGACCAAACCACACCCAAAAUACACUCCAAAUAAACUUUCUUUACUACUCAAAAACAUCUUAUGCAUAGCUUACCGGAUUUCCCACCAAAAAAAUUAAGCCGAACCCAUUAUCCAUAAGAACGUCAAUCUGACCGAAUACCUCUCUAGGUAAAGAUCCAUCAUGAAAAACCCAAGACUGAACCAUUUACUAAACCAUAUCAACAAUCAAUCUCGAAUACAUAACUGAAUGCUUACUAUAAAGAAUUCAAGGCUGAACCUAAACUAUAACAACAUUAGACUUUGUUGAAAAAAGAAAAGGAAAGUGAUGCUUUGACCAGAAAAUCAUUUAGUUGAUUCAGUAUAGGCUUUGCAAUGGUAAACUACAAUGUGAAGCUAUUGGAAUCUUCUUCCUCUCAAUCAGUUUCUGCUUUGUUGGUUAUCAUUUCUCAAGAUCUUUAUGUUAUUGUAAUGCUUUUGUAGUAGGGUGAGAGCUCCUGCUUAGUUCUUUCAAUAAAUGAAAAAGCAAUAGACAAAAUCUAGCUCAUUACUCCCUGCAUAUAUAAAUGCUUUCAUGAAUUUUUUCAAUUUAAUUUUUAUGAGGUUAUCCUAGUUUCAUGACCCGAACUAUGGAUUUAAUGAGUUAACUCUAUUGACUCCAUUUUUUCUCCUUUUCUAAUUGACUUUUUUCCCCUCAAAUUCAUCGUUCAAUGUUGAAUUGAUUGAGAAUUAAGCUUCGUGAUUUAUUUUACUUUGCUUUCUAUAAGGUUAUCAUCGUCUCAUGAAUCAGGUUACAAGUUUAGCAGGUUAACCUGGAUUAACUCGAGUUGUUUUUUAUGUCUUUUUUUAAUAUAAUCUUUCCACACUAGAUUGAUUAGGGAUUGGAAUUUAUAAUUUUUUUCAAUUUUUUUAUUAGGUUAUCUCAGUCUUGUGACCCAAGUUACAGAUUAACCCAAGUUGACUUGUGUUGUUUUUUUUUAGUAUUUUUUUAAUUACAAUUUUUUCAAUGACAUCAUUCAAUAUUGGGUUUAUUGAAAAUUAAGCUUCAUAAUUUGUUUUGGUUUCUUUUUUAUAGGGUUAUUAGGGUCUUAUGAUCAGGCAUGUGGAUUAACAGGUUAAUCCGAGUUGACUGGAAUCGAUCCAAUUUAUUGUCAUCUCAAUAUUUAUAAGAAAUAUCAUAUUGAAUAUUUAGUUUGAUUCAAAUUAUAUUUUUAUCAAUUGUCUGGGUUGUCUUUGGACCUGCCAAGUCUACUAAGUAAUAUCAGGUCAAUCCCCACAUGUUUUAAAAAAUGUAUUCUAGUAGAAAAAACAUUAGCAAUGCAUAGAUAUUUUUUUAGGCUAAAAAAAUUAAUCUCAAUGACAACAUAACACGGGUCACUAAUCUAGUAUUAUUAAACCUUGUAGAGGCUAACGAGUCACCAUAAUGACUUGCCAACCUGACCUCUAGGUUACGAUGGAUUUUAAAGUAAAUCAGGUGGGAUUUGACCUAGUGUCGCUUAACUAACCCAGUCGAUGCACCCAUAAUUCGGUUGACUCGUCCAAAACUUGAUUUAAUAUUUUUCAUUAAAAAAUCAAAUCAACGGCAUUCUGGUCUGAAUUAGGUUAAACAAUUAUAAAAAUAAAUAUUUACAUGAAAGACAACAAAUAAAAUUUUUGAGAAAAAAUAUAUUUUUUCAAUCAAAACUUCAUUUCCUUAUUUAUUCAUCUCCUUGUUAUUUUAAUGAAAGCAUGUUAUUUUAACUAUAAUCAUUGCUUUUUAAAUAAAAAUCUAUAAUGAUUUUGAAAAAAAGUUUUAAAAUAAAAAUGCUAAAAUAAUAUUUCAACAUUUUGCAUGUGGUUCAAGAAAAAAUUAAUAGAUUUUAUAAAAUCAUGUAAAAAACCUAUUAAAAAUAUUAAAGAAAAAAAUAUUAUUUUCAUUAAAUAUUCAAGAGCCUUUUUUUUUGGCCUAUUAAACACGUAAUAAUUGAAAAAAAAUAUUAACAUUCCAAUAAAAACCCAUAAUAUUAUUUGAAAACAAUGGAAAAAUUAAAUGAUAAUUUAAAUAUCAUGUUAAGCUCGACAUGUAUGUAUGGGUCUACAAAGCAUGUCCACAUGCUUAAUUUUCUUCUUCUACCUUUGUAUUGACGGUAAACAAUGCGUCGUUUUCUGGUUCGAAUUUUUGCCCUAACAGCAGCAAAAUUACAUUUAAGAUAUAACUUCAUCCCCUCCACACCAUAUGCUUACCACAGCGCAAUCAUUAGAACAUGUCUUAGAGCUUGAAUUAUACAAUAAUUACCAUAAAAGACCGACGACGAGUAGAUGACCAAUAAUAUACGUAAUCAACUUGGUUGGCCAAGUAUAUUAAAUGGCCUUCCUUCCUUCUACCACACGCAGAGGUGAAAAGCACCAUUAUUGUUUUGUUAAGGCCACAGGCAUCUUCAAAGAGCUCAUGUGCUCACCCCAGUUUAUAUAUUUUCCAUGAACAGUACCUUAUCUGCAAAGAUACCAUCUUGUAAUGAUUUAUUUUGGAGUAAGCAUCAUUGAAAGUGACUUGCAGAGAAUAAUUCCGAAUAAUUUCCUGUGUUUCUUUAAUUUCAUACAACUAUGCCUACGAUUUAUACAGUCAAGACAGGGAAUGGAACAAGUCUUCAUUGUUUUUAACACCACUAAUUGGCACUCUCCGAUUAGAGCCGGCUCUCCUCUGUCCUCCUCUUGCCUUAAAAAUACUCCAAUCCAACCUCCUCCUCCAAUUCCUCUAUUCAUGGGUUCAUCUUUCCCUAGUACCCAUCAAGAAUCACAGUGAAAGAACCUGUAGAGUAAAACAGAGACUUCAAGAGAAUCCAUUCCGAGCAUAUCGAGAUUACCUGUACAGUAAUAGCCAGGUAGGUCACUUGGCUCUCUGGAAGAGAAAUGGAGAGGCUUAUUGUUUUGGGGCCAUCGAAUCUUGUAUCUAUCAGAAUUGAACCUGGACAGAAAUGCUAUGGUGAACUCACUCUCCGCAAUGUUAUGUACACUAUGC
rnacentral:lncRNA from 1 species